AACGUAGGUUCCGAGCGUUAUUCGGAUUUACUGGGCUUAAAGAGUUCGUAGGCGGCGCAGAAAGUAGGGUGUGAAAGCCCUCGGCUCAACCGAGGAAUUGCGCUCUAAACUACUGUGCUUGAGGAGGCUAGAGGUGAGCGGAACUGAUGGUGGAGCGGUGAAAUGCGUUGAUAUCAUCAGGAACACCGGAGGCGAAGGCGGCUCACUGGGGCUUUUCUGACGCUGAGGAACGAAAGCCAGGGGAGCGAACGGG
rnacentral:rRNA from 1 species